rnacentral:lncRNA from 1 species
GCGUGCGCGGCGUCGCCGGGCUUGCGAUGAACUUGCGGCUGUCAAGCUCCCGGCCGGGCUGACUCAAGCGGAGGCGCGCGGAACAGUCGCCGAGGCGAUUCCCGCCCAGGUUGUUCCAAGUUGUUGGGAAAACAGACGACACACUUGCCCUGCUCAACCUGGCCUGCAUGAUGACCAUCACCUUCCUGCCUUACACGUUUUCGUUAAUGGUGACCUUCCCUGAUGUGCCUCUGGGCAUCUUCUUGUUCUGUGUGUGUGUGAUCGCCAUCGGGGUCGUGCAGGUCACACAGGUAGGGUUCCUGAGGCCACCUACACACAUAGGAUGUGGCAUGCCCAGAGUCCCCGCUUUCUGACCAGAGACUGGGAAGAGUGGGCCCUGAGACCCCCCACAUGCGGCCCCAGGAGCCAGCAGGGGCUCCUGUUCUCUCUCCACCUCAGCCCGUGCCCAAAGCGUCCCAGGUACAAGCCCACCUCUACCCGCCAGGUCCUCCCCACCUCGAGACCCCUGC